UGUCGACCAUCCAGGGUUCCCCGACGUCCCUACUAGGUCGCUCCCGCACCCCCCUGCUAACCCUAGAUCGAUCUUCCCCCUUCCCCCAUGUCUCAACUCCCUCGGCCUGCCACAUGUUCUCCGCAACCGCUGGCGGGCCAUCGGCGUUGUCACAACCAAGCAAUGUUUUAAGUAAUAGCGUCGGUAGCUCAGGCCAGCUGCUACAAGUCGAAAGCUGCGCUAGGUAAUAGCGUGUUUGGCAUGAUGCGGCCGAUAUAUGGGCUGUCAGACCACAAUAGCGGCCCUUUGUGUAAGGCCGGUUGCGGGCAUAGCGGAAAGCUUAAAAAAAAUUAGACCACCAAUCCUCUUAUCCGAUUAUCCCAUCCCCUUCUCCUGGCGGCGGGCGGCUGGCACUUCCCUGGCGGCGGCGCGGCUAACGCCGGAGGCCGGAUGGAGAGGCAAAUCCAGGCUCACCAUCACCGGAUGCCGCCACUCCCCUAGCCCAUCUUCCCCUGCCGGUCUUUGAGGGAGCAGCCAACACGACGGCCACCUCAUCGCUCUUGCUCGACGCCUUUCCCUGGUCGACGACUGGCCGGUGCGGGACGACACGGCAAGAUGGUGGGCAGUACCUCGCUGGGACGGCGGUGCUCAAGCUCAAUGCCCAGGUCCCCUCGCUGGUCCCUGUUCGACGCCCUACUAGUCGACGUCCCAAUCCGAUCCGGUCCGCACCUCCUCGCUUGACGACUACUUCUUGGUAAUUCAGUCAACUAUCUGCACUUGUAAUUAAGAAGACCAAGAAGUGUACAUGGAUCUGAAUGGAGAAGAGGACGAGGAUGGCGGAUGACUUGUGCAACUUCCAUGAUCAAAACUGGAUCUGUUUAUUUUUGCGUGAUGGUCGUGGUCUGACUUGUAUGGUUGCAUCUUCCAUGAUCAGAACUGGAUCUGUUUUUUUUGCGUGAUGGUCGUGGUCUGACUUUUAUGGUUGGUUGGUAGUUUUUGUUUGCAUGGUUACAUGGUUGAAUAUUGUACAAUGGACUAAUUGUAGUGUAUAUGUGUUGUGUCGUACUGAUAGUUUUUUUUUGCAUGGUUGAAUAUUGUCCGGAUGGACUAGUUACAGUCUAUAUGCUUAUAUAAAUGAUGAUUAUUCAA